CUUUUCUAUUUCAAAAUGCCAAACACUCAAGAAAUAUCUGCCUGUCCUGGUGAUUCUGUGCUGCCUCUGCUGCCCACUGUGACCCUUUUGACUGGACAGACUGGUUCCUGCAAAAGGAGAUACGUGGUGUGGCCCCUCUGCAGUUUCAGGGGGACCUGCUCAGCAAAACUGACCCUGCAGAAAUGCCCAGACACUGGACCCUGGAGAGGGAAGAAAGCUGUUUCUCGUGUGGAAACCUGGAGUCUCUUCUCAGCAUGCAGGAAAGUAAAAGUGAGAAUGAAGGAACUGAAAAUUUUGCAGAGAACAUUUUGCAAAGAAAGAAACACUUCACAGCAGUUAGGGACAAUUUGUGCAGUUGUAUUCCCAGCCGCUCACCAACCUGCCAAAGGAAAAAACAGAAAUGGGAGCAAAAAUAGUUUGUAGGAGAAUGGAAGAGAGAACAAGACAACUGAAGGCAAAAACUUUAAUAAAGGAAUAGGUCUACUGCAACAAAGGAAACAACAGCAAAAAAAACAGAGACAAGGACACAUCCUAACCCCAUUAAUAUCAUUGGGAAUUUGCCUUCAUCUUCAGUGGGAACAGAACUUCAAAGACACAGGAAUCACCCAUAAAACCCGAAGGAUUGUCUAAGCUUGAGAGACCAGUUUUCAAAAGCUCUCUAGCAAAGCUAUUAUCUUACCAGCAUUACGUUGUCAGAAGAAGCUGUAAAAGGUUCAUCAGAAACACCGAGGGCUUGAAGGAAUGAAAGAUCUUGAGCCCAAAGGAAAGGAAAUCCCAAAGGAUGGAAUGCUUCCUGAUGAGAAGAUGUUGAAGACAUGCUGGUCUCCAUGCAAAGCUGAAGGGGUGCCCAGAGAAACAACAGCGUGUCCAAUGGAUACCAGGUAGCAGGCUGUUCCCUGGACUACCGAGCAAAAUAUGACUGAAAGAACAAGUGAGAACAAAACUUUUUAAAUAUCAGCCUCAGCCUGGAUAAAAACUUGAAAAAUUAUACAUUUAGCUUUAAAAAAAAAAAAUAAAAAAAAUCUGGAAUAGCAUGCUAAAAAUCCUCAACAAAGACCUGUAGAGAGACUACAAUCAUCUGAGCAAUAAAUUCUACUUAAGCUUUAAAAAUGGUACAACAGAAUUUGGACUUGAUAAAUAACUUGUGUGCAAGAUCUAGAGCGCUUUUGUUGGGACCUCCAGCAAUGCCAUCACUCCAUCUCUAAAUGAUUUUGAGGCUGGCAUCGUAUCAACAGUAUCAACCCUGCAGGUUGUGUAACAAGCUAAUGAUGCAACACUUAAGGAUGAAGGUGGAGGUGUUGGUAGAAUGACAAAGUCCCACCACACACAUACAGUAAGAAUCAACUGAGAUUACAUGAGGCUGCAGUCAAACACAAAACAUUAAAAAUACUGUUUAGUAAAAACACAGACCCAACUAAACUGAAUUUAUAUAAACUAUCUAAUUAACAGAUUAGAAAGCCUGAUAAGACCUGUGUGAUCUUCUAGUCUGACUUCUGGCAUAAUGGGGAGGGGAUUUUCCUGAACUCAUCCCUGUCCGAACUAGAUUGUAUCAUCUUAAGGGGGACACAUAUAUCUUGAUAUAAAUAUCAAGGAAAACUUUACCAUAAUUCUUGGUAACCCUCUCAGUGGUUAAUUAUGGGUAACUAUAAAUUAAGAUUGCAGGUCUUGGAUCUUUGUCUGCCUGAGCUAAGGCAUGGAUUUUUAAAUGAAUAUUUACACCAUAGAAUGGUACAUAAAGGGCCCCCAUUAACCUUCUUUUUGAUAAGCUAAAUAGGUAGAACUCCUUGAGCUCCACAUUAGAAGGCGAGUAUCCUUUAAUCAUGUCUCAUCUUUAUUCUGUGAAAUCAUUCUAAUUUUUCAUCACUCUUUUGAAUUUAGGACCCAGAUCCCAAACAACAUUCCACCUUUCCUUGCAUCAGUACCAGACACAAAUGAAGUAUAAACCUCUUUAUCUUUUCUCAGUAUUU